AAAGUUCCUUUUGUUUGUGGAGCCAGAAAUCUGGGUGAGGCAUUAAGGAGAAUAGCUGAAGGAGCAGCCAUGAUUAGAACGAAAGGAGAAGCUGGUACUGGUAAUAUUAUAGAAGCAGUAAAACAUAUGCGUUGUAUAAAUGAAGAGAUCAGAGCCUUAAAGGGAUUGGAUAAGGAAGAGUUAAUUGUGAAGGCCAAAGAGUAUGGUGCCCCCUUUGAAUUAUUAAUAGAAACUGCCUCCUUGGGUAGAUUGCCAGUGGUGAAUUUUGCUGCUGGUGGUAUUGCUACCCCCGCAGAUGCAGCAUUGAUGAUGCAAUUGGGUUGUGAUGGUGUUUUUGUUGGUUCUGGUAUUUUUAAAUCAGAAAAUCCGGCCCAGCGAGCAAAGGCAAUUGUAGAAGCUACUACCCAUUAUAAUGAUGCUAAACUCAUCGCUCAAGUUUCAGCAGGACUUGGUGAGGCAAUGGAAGGUCUCUCUAUAGAACAGAUUCCUGAGGAAGAGAAGAUGCAGGUAAGAGGUUGGUAAUGUUGAUUUUCUCCUUUCCUCCUGAAUUGGGGAAUGUUUUAAGAAUCCAUUACUAUUUUUGAAGAUAAAUAAAUGAAAAAACUAAUAAUUUUUUCUUGACAACCUCCCCUAACUCUGUUACUAUCUUAUUUGCCCUUCUUGAGGGUGAACCACCUUCAGUGGUUCUCCCGGAAGGUCAUGUUCCUUGAUAAUGACAUAUAGCACCCAGCCAGAUGCUUUGAUCUAACCUGAGGUUACCCUCCUUUUGCUGGAAGGUAACCUUCUUUCGGUGUCAGUUUUAAGGGGAGGAGGGAAGGACAGAUUUCGGUCUGUCCUUCCCAAUCCCCCUUAAAGAGCACGGAGAGUUUGAUCCUGGCUCAGGACGAACGCUGGCGGCGUGCCUAACACAUGCAAGUCAUACGGAUACAGAAGUCAGAAGAGAGAGGUUGUUUGACUUCCGACUUCUAACUUCUGUUAUCAGUGGCGCACGGGUGAGUAACGCGUGGGAAUCUACCCGGUAGUGGGGGAUAACCCCUCGAAAGGGGGGCUAAUACCGCAUAAGUCCUACGGGGUAAAGAUGGCCUCUUAGAGGCUAUCGCUUCCGGAUGAGCCCGCGUCCUAUUAGCUAGUUGGUGAGGUAAUGGCUUACCAAGGCCACGAUGGGUAGCCGGUCUGAGAGGAUGAACGGCCACACUGGGACUGAGACACGGCCCAGACUCCUACGGGAGGCAGCAGUGGGGAAUUUUGCGCAAUGGGGGAAACCCUGACGCAGCAACGCCGCGUGGAUGAUGAAGGCCUUCGGGUUGUAAAGUCCUGUUCUGGGGGAAGAAACGGUAGGAAGCCAAUACCUUCCUGCCCUGACGGUACCCCAGCAGAAAGCUCCGGCCAAUUAUGUGCCAGCAGCCGCGGUAAUACAUAAGGAGCAAGCGUUGUCCGGAAUUAUUGGGCGUAAAGAGCUCGUAGACGGUUCGGAAAGUCAGCUGUGAAAUCACCAGGCUCAACCUGGUAGGGUCAGUUGAGACUUCCGAACUUGAGGGUAGAAGAGGAAAGUGGAAUUCCCGGUGUAGCGGUGAAAUGCGUAGAUAUCGGGAGGAACACCAGUGGCGAAGGCGGCUUUCUGGUCUACCCCUGACGUUGAGGAGCGAAAGCCAGGGGAGCAAACGGGAUUAGAUACCCCGGUAGUCCUGGCCCUAAACGAUGGAUACUAGGUGUAGGAGGUAUCGACCCCUUCUGUGCCGCAGUUAACACA
rnacentral:rRNA from 1 species